GAUGAACGCUGGCGGCGUGCCUAAUACAUGCAAGUAGAACGCUGAAGGAAGGAGCUUGCUCUUUCCGGAUGAGUUGCGAACGGGUGAGUAACGCGUAGGUAACCUGCCUGGUAGCGGGGGAUAACUAUUGGAAACGAUAGCUAAUACCGCAUAACAGUAGAUGUUGCAUGAUAUCUACUUAAAAGGUGCAAUUGCACCACUACCAGAUGGACCUGCGUUGUAUUAGCUAGUUGGUGAGGUAACGGCUCACCAAGGCGACGAUACAUAGCCGACCUGAGAGGGUGAUCGGCCACACUGGGAAUGAGACACGGCCCAGACUCCUACGGGAGGCAGCAGUAGGGAAUCUUCGGCAAUGGACGGAAGUCUGACCGAGCAACGCCGCGUGAGGGAAGAAGGUUUUCGGAUCGUAAAGCUCUGUUGUAAGAGAAGAACGAGUGUGAGAGUGGAAAGUUCACACUGUGACGGUAUCUUACCAGAAAGGGACGGCUAACUACGUG
rnacentral:rRNA from 1 species